CCGUUCUGCGGGGGAUAGCCGGCCCAACGGCCGGGUAAUACCGCAUACGCUCACCGGGCGGCAUCGUCUGGUGAGGAAACCUCAGGGGCGGAACGAGGGGCUCGCGGCCUAUCAGCUAGUUGGCGGGGUAACGGCCCACCAAGGCAUCGACGGGUAGCUGGUCUGAGAGGAUGGCCAGCCACAUUGGGACUGCGACACGGCCCAGACUCCUACGGGAGGCAGCAGUGGGGAAUAUUGCGCAAUGGCCGCAAGGCUGACGCAGCGACGCCGCGUGGAGGAUGACGCCCCUCGGGGUGUAAACUCCUGUUGCUCGGGACGAACCAUGGGUUUCGACCCAUCUGACGGUACCGAGUGAGGAAGCACCGGCUAACUCCGUGCCAGCAGCCGCGGUAAUACGGAGGGUGCGAGCGUUGUCCGGAAUCACUGGGCGUAAAGGGCGCGUAGGCGGUCCGGUAAGCGUGUGGUGAAAGCCCGGGGCUCAACCCCGGGUCUGCCGUGCGAACUGCCGGACUCGAGCACUGUAGAGGCAGGUGGAGUUCCGAGUGUAGCGGUGGAAUGCGUAGAGAUUCGGAGGAACACCGGUGGCGAAGGCGGCCUGCUGGGCAGUGUCUGACGCUGAGGCGCGACAGCGUGGGGAGCAAACAGGAUUAGAUACCCUGGUAGUCCACGCCGUAAACGAUGGGCACUAGGUGCUUCGGGGAGCGACCCCCGGAGUGCCGGCGCUAACGCAUUAAGUGCCCCGCCUGGGGAGUACGGCCGCAAGGCUGAAACUCAAAGGAAUUGACGG
rnacentral:rRNA from 1 species